rnacentral:rRNA from 1 species
UUAAGCGACUAAGCGUACACGGUGGAUGCCCUGGCAGUCAGAGGCGAUGAAGGACGUGCUAAUCUGCGAUAAGCGUCGGUAAGGUGAUAUGAACCGUUAUAACCGGCGAUUUCCGAAUGGGGAAACCCAGUGUGUUUCGACACACUAUCAUUAACUGAAUCCAUAGGUUAAUGAGGCGAACCGGGGGAACUGAAACAUCUAAGUACCCCGAGGAAAAGAAAUCAACCGAGAUUCCCCCAGUAGCGGCGAGCGAACGGGGAGCAGCCCAGAGCCUGAAUCAGUGUGUGUGUUAGUGGAAGCGUCUGGAAAGGCGCGCGAUACAGGGUGACAGCCCCGUACACAAAAAUGCACAUACUGUGAGCUCGAUGAGUAGGGCGGGACACGUGGUAUCCUGUCUGAAUAUGGGGGGACCAUCCUCCAAGGCUAAAUACUCCUGACUGACCGAUAGUGAACCAGUACCGUGAGGGAAAGGCGAAAAGAACCCCGGCGAGGGGAGUGAAAAAGAACCUGAAACCGUGUACGUACAAGCAGUGGGAGCCUCUUUAUGGGGUGACUGCGUACCUUUUGUAUAAUGGGUCAGCGACUUAUAUUCUGUAGCAAGGUUAACCGAAUAGGGGAGCCGAAGGGAAACCGAGUCUUAACUGGGCGUUAAGUUGCAGGGUAUAGACCCGAAACCCGGUGAUCUAGCCAUGGGCAGGUUGAAGGUUGGGUAACACUAACUGGAGGACCGAACCGACUAAUGUUGAAAAAUUAGCGGAUGACUUGUGGCUGGGGGUGAAAGGCCAAUCAAACCGGGAGAUAGCUGGUUCUCCCCGAAAGCUAUUUAGGUAGCGCCUCGUGAAUUCAUCUCCGGGGGUAGAGCACUGUUUCGGCAAGGGGGUCAUCCCGACUUACCAACCCGAUGCAAACUGCGAAUACCGGAGAAUGUUAUCACGGGAGACACACGGCGGGUGCUAACGUCCGUCGUGAAGAGGGAAACAACCCAGACCGCCAGCUAAGGUCCCAAAGUCAUGGUUAAGUGGGAAACGAUGUGGGAAGGCCCAGACAGCCAGGAUGUUGGCUUAGAAGCAGCCAUCAUUUAAAGAAAGCGUAAUAGCUCACUGGUCGAGUCGGCCUGCGCGGAAGAUGUAACGGGGCUAAACCAUGCACCGAAGCUGCGGCAGCGACACUAUGUGUUGUUGGGUAGGGGAGCGUUCUGUAAGCCUGCGAAGGUGUACUGUGAGGUAUGCUGGAGGUAUCAGAAGUGCGAAUGCUGACAUAAGUAACGAUAAAGCGGGUGAAAAGCCCGCUCGCCGGAAGACCAAGGGUUCCUGUCCAACGUUAAUCGGGGCAGGGUGAGUCGACCCCUAAGGCGAGGCCGAAAGGCGUAGUCGAUGGGAAACAGGUUAAUAUUCCUGUACUUGGUGUUACUGCGAAGGGGGGACGGAGAAGGCUAUGUUGGCCGGGCGACGGUUGUCCCGGUUUAAGCGUGUAGGCUGGUUUUCCAGGCAAAUCCGGAAAAUCAAGGCUGAGGCGUGAUGACGAGGCACUACGGUGCUGAAGCAACAAAUGCCCUGCUUCCAGGAAAAGCCUCUAAGCAUCAGGUAACAUCAAAUCGUACCCCAAACCGACACAGGUGGUCAGGUAGAGAAUACCAAGGCGCUUGAGAGAACUCGGGUGAAGGAACUAGGCAAAAUGGUGCCGUAACUUCGGGAGAAGGCACGCUGAUAUGUAGGUGAAGCGACUUGCUCGUGGAGCUGAAAUCAGUCGAAGAUACCAGCUGGCUGCAACUGUUUAUUAAAAACACAGCACUGUGCAAACACGAAAGUGGACGUAUACGGUGUGACGCCUGCCCGGUGCCGGAAGGUUAAUUGAUGGGGUUAGCGGUAACGCGAAGCUCUUGAUCGAAGCCCCGGUAAACGGCGGCCGUAACUAUAACGGUCCUAAGGUAGCGAAAUUCCUUGUCGGGUAAGUUCCGACCUGCACGAAUGGCGUAAUGAUGGCUAGGCUGUCUCCACCCGAGACUCAGUGAAAUUGAACUCGCUGUGAAGAUGCAGUGUACCCGCGGCAAGACGGAAAGACCCCGUGAACCUUUACUAUAGCUUGACACUGAACAUUGAGCCUUGAUGUGUAGGAUAGGUGGGAGGCUUUGAAGUGUGGACGCCAGUCUGCAUGGAGCCGACCUUGAAAUACCACCCUUUAAUGUUUGAUGUUCUAACGUUGGCCCCUGAUCGGGGUUGCGGACAGUGUCUGGUGGGUAGUUUGACUGGGGCGGUCUCCUCCUAAAGAGUAACGGAGGAGCACGAAGGUUGGCUAAUCCUGGUCGGACAUCAGGAGGUUAGUGCAAUGGCAUAAGCCAGCUUGACUGCGAGCGUGACGGCGCGAGCAGGUGCGAAAGCAGGUCAUAGUGAUCCGGUGGUUCUGAAUGGAAGGGCCAUCGCUCAACGGAUAAAAGGUACUCCGGGGAUAACAGGCUGAUACCGCCCAAGAGUUCAUAUCGACGGCGGUGUUUGGCACCUCGAUGUCGGCUCAUCACAUCCUGGGGCUGAAGUAGGUCCCAAGGGUAUGGCUGUUCGCCAUUUAAAGUGGUACGCGAGCUGGGUUUAGAACGUCGUGAGACAGUUCGGUCCCUAUCUGCCGUGGGCGCUGGAGAACUGAGGGGGGCUGCUCCUAGUACGAGAGGACCGGAGUGGACGCAUCACUGGUGUUCGGGUUGUCAUGCCAAUGGCACUGCCCGGUAGCUAAAUGCGGAAGAGAUAAGUGCUGAAAGCAUCUAAGCACGAAACUUGCCCCGAGAUGAGUUCUCCCUGACUCCUUGAGAGUCCUGAAGGAACGUUGAAGACGACGACGUUGAUAGGCCGGGUGUGUAAGCGCAGCGAUGCGUUGAGCUAACCGGUACUAAUGAACCGUGAGGCUUAACCUU